CCUUUCCAACUUUGUUCUUCCGGCCUUGCUGUCUGCCUCCCCGGCUGAUUGGAUUCGUUACUGCUUUGCAACGCGCACCUAACUCCAGCUUGAGGUCCUACCUGGUGUCCUCCAUGAGAAUCACACAAGCCCCGCUACAGACAACAGAAUUGGAAGGUCCUGAGAGCUACCAGAAGCAUCUUCAGUUUUCAUAUGAAAAACUUAAGCCCAGGAGUGAUUUGUGCAGCCAAGGACACACAGCAAGUUAGUGGCUGCACCAGAAAUAGCACUCACUGCCUCAGACAGUCCCUCCCACAGUCUACUCUGUCUCCACCCCAAGGUCUGGUUCUGAAUCAUUCAGUUGUCAGUUGUCUCCUAACUUUUUUUUUUUUUUUUUUUGGAGACAGGGUCUCUCUCUCUGUGGCCCAGGCUGAAGUGCAGUGGUGUGAUUACAGCUCAUGUAGCCUGGACCUCCCAAGCUCAAGCAAUCCUCCUGCCUCUGCC
rnacentral:antisense_RNA from 1 species